AGUGAACGCUAGUGGCGUGCUUAACACAUGCAAGUCGAACGGACGAUAUUUGUGCUUGCACAAAUAAAGUUAGUGGCAAACGGGUGAGUAAUACAUGAGAAUUUUCCUUGCAGUACGGAAUAACUAUUGGAAACAGUAGCUAAUACCGUAUAUUGCCGAGAGGUGAAAGAUUUAUCGCUGCAAGAUAAGCCCAUGCAAGAUUAGCUUGUUGGUAAGGUAAUGGCUUACCAAGGCUACGAUCUUUAGCUGGUUUUAGAGGAUGAUCAGCCACACUGGAACUUAGACACGGUCCAGACUCCUACGGGAGGCAGCAGUGAGGAAUAUUGGACAAUAGGCGAAAGCCUGAUCCAGCGACGUCACGUGAAUGAUGAAGGCCUUCGGGUUGUAAAAAUCUUUUCUAUGGGAAGAAAAUGACAGUACCAUACGAAUAAGGACCGGCUAAUUACGUGCCAGCCGCCGCAGUAAAAC
rnacentral:rRNA from 1 species